CUAUUACUCCCUCCGUUCUAAAAUUCUUGUCUUAUAUCUAUCUAGAUAUAAACGUAUGUAAUCACGUUUUAGUAUUUAGAUACAUUCAUUUCUAGAUAAAUUUAAAACAAGAAUUUUGAGACGGAUGAAGUAUUAU
rnacentral:pre_miRNA from 1 species